rnacentral:rRNA from 1 species
AGAGUUUGAUCCUGGCUCAGGAUGAACGCUGGCGGCGUGCCUAAUACAUGCAAGUCGAGCGAACGGACGAGAAGCUUGCUUCUCUGAUGUUAGCGGCGGACGGGUGAGUAACACGUGGAUAACCUACCUAUAAGACUGGGAUAACUUCGGGAAACCGGAGCUAAUACCGGAUAAUAUUUUGAACCGCAUGGUUCAAAAGUGAAAGACGGUCUUGCUGUCACUUAUAGAUGGAUCCGCGCUGCAUUAGCUAGUUGGCAAGGUAACGGCUUACCAAGGCAACGAUGCAUAGCCGACCUGAGAGGGUGAUCGGCCACACUGGAACUGAGACACGGUCCAGACUCCUACGGGAGGCAGCAGUAGGGAAUCUUCCGCAAUGGGCGAAAGCCUGACGGAGCAACGCCGCGUGAGUGAUGAAGGUCUUCGGAUCGUAAAACUCUGUUAUUAGGGAAGAACAUAUGUGUAAGUAACUGUGCACAUCUUGACGGUACCUAAUCAGAAAGCCACGGCUAACUACGUGCCAGCAGCCGCGGUAAUACGUAGGUGGCAAGCGUUAUCCGGAAUUAUUGGGCGUAAAGCGCGCGUAGGCGGUUUUUUAAGUCUGAUGUGAAAGCCCACGGCUCAACCGUGGAGGGUCAUUGGAAACUGGAAAACUUGAGUGCAGAAGAGGAAAGUGGAAUUCCAUGUGUAGCGGUGAAAUGCGCAGAGAUAUGGAGGAACACCAGUGGCGAAGGCGACUUUCUGGUCUGUAACUGACGCUGAUGUGCGAAAGCGUGGGGAUCAAACAGGAUUAGAUACCCUGGUAGUCCACGCCGUAAACGAUGAGUGCUAAGUGUUAGGGGGUUUCCGCCCCUUAGUGCUGCAGCUAACGCAUUAAGCACUCCGCCUGGGGAGUACGACCGCAAGGUUGAAACUCAAAGGAAUUGACGGGGACCCGCACAAGCGGUGGAGCAUGUGGUUUAAUUCGAAGCAACGCGAAGAACCUUACCAAAUCUUGACAUCCUUUGACAACUCUAGAGAUAGAGCCUUCCCCUUCGGGGGACAAAGUGACAGGUGGUGCAUGGUUGUCGUCAGCUCGUGUCGUGAGAUGUUGGGUUAAGUCCCGCAACGAGCGCAACCCUUAAGCUUAGUUGCCAUCAUUAAGUUGGGCACUCUAAGUUGACUGCCGGUGACAAACCGGAGGAAGGUGGGGAUGACGUCAAAUCAUCAUGCCCCUUAUGAUUUGGGCUACACACGUGCUACAAUGGACAAUACAAAGGGCAGCGAAACCGCGAGGUCAAGCAAAUCCCAUAAAGUUGUUCUCAGUUCGGAUUGUAGUCUGCAACUCGACUACAUGAAGCUGGAAUCGCUAGUAAUCGUAGAUCAGCAUGCUACGGUGAAUACGUUCCCGGGUCUUGUACACACCGCCCGUCACACCACGAGAGUUUGUAACACCCGAAGCCGGUGGAGUAACCUUUUAGGAGCUAGCCGUCGAAGGUGGGACAAAUGAUUGGGGUGAAGUCGUAACAAGGUAGCCGUAUCGGAAGGUGCGGCUGGAUCACCU